CUGACUGGCACUUUUUUCUAAAACAAUUCUCCUCACAAUCACAAGACAGGAAAUGGUCUGAACAGUGUCAGGGAUAUCAGACAGUGACAUAAUACUUUGGAUUAACAGUGCAGAUUUCAUUUGGCAUCCGACAACCUCUACAACAACAGAAAACGACAUAUCCGGAUAACUUAAUCUACUAUUAGGCUGCUUACGUCGUUUUACGUCCUACAUCCUAAACUUCAAAAGACUUGAGAAACCUUGUGCCCUGGACAAGUAGAGCUCAAGAGACUAUCAGAAGGGAAACAUUUGGCCCUGGUUUCUCUCCACACACCACUAAACUGUGCUAGUCGGCUUUGCCAUUGCAUCACUGUGACCUUUCAACCCUCCCAACGAUAAUCCACGUACCUGCGACCUUUGACCUUUGGAGGACACAAAAGCCAACCGCAGUCUGUGCAUUUGCAUAACGUGAUCCAAAUACUUUGGAUCAAUCUGAAGCCAUAAAAUGUCUGCUUACUGAAACAUCCCCCAGAGAAGACUAGCAGUGUGUUUUACGCAUCUAGUGUGGCCAAGGGAUGUAUUUGUGAGUAUGAAUUUAUCAGAUCUGGUACAGAUACUAGAGAGACUAGCAGUUAUGUGAUAAAGCAGUGUUUGGGAAUGAAAACAGUGUUCCUUAAGGAAUCUGAACAAAGCAAGAACUAUAUAGGUGCUAUAAAAAUGAACUGAAUAUCACUUUGAAUUUAGCUAAGAAAAUGUAUGUUGCAGAAAUAUUACUGAUUUGUUUUUUGUUUUUAAAGAUUGGUUUGGUUUGAAUAUUUAAUUUAAAACGGAACUGCUAAAAAAUAUGUAUUAAAUAUCGGCCUUUAUGAAUACUGA